UCCGGUGGCCAUAGUGGAAGGGAAACACCCGGUCCCAUUCCGAACCCGGUCGUUAAGCCUUCCAACGCUGAUGGUACUGCACGAGGGAUCGUGUGGGAGAGUAAGACGCUGCCGGAAUACUUAUACUGUUCCUUCCCCCCAGGGGGGAAGGAGUAUGCGUGUGUGGGUGUAUCACCCCUCCAGCCAG
rnacentral:rRNA from 1 species